rnacentral:rRNA from 1 species
CCUACGGGGGGCAGCAGUGGGGCAUAUUGGGCAAUGGAGGAAACUCUGAUCCAGCAACGCCGCGUGAAUGAUGAAGGUCUUCGGUUUGUAAAGUUCUUUUCUAAGGGAAGAAGAAAGUGACGGUAUCUUAAGAAUAAGCCUCGGCUCGAUGCGUGCCCGCAGCCGCUGUAAUACGUAGGGGGCAAGCGUUAUGCGGACGGACUGGGCGUAAAGGGGGCGUAGGUGGUUUGAAAAGUUAGAAGCGCAACCCCGGGGCUAAACUUCGGAACUACUACGAACACUGUUGGCCUUGAGUGCAGGAGAGGCAAUCGGAAUUCCUAGUGUAGCGGUGGAAUGCGUAGAUAUUAGGAGGAACACCAGUGGCGAAGGCGGAUUGCUAGACAGUAACUGACGCUGAGGCACGAAAGCGUGGGGAGCAAACAGGAUUAGAUACCCUGGUAGUC